rnacentral:lncRNA from 1 species
AGUACUGCUCUGUUAGCAGCAGGAGCAAAUGAAAGAAUUCAGUGUCAGCAUUUUCUGUUUCUCAUCUGACAAACAAGGUCAGGUACUUCUUUGAACAACCCAGUUCCAAUAGCUGUGAAACAUAAAGAGACAAGCAGGGGAAGAUUUUCCAGAAAGGCUGGUGGCUAGGCACAAGCAAAUUACACCAUUAAUGUCAUCCUGGCGAAUGAAACAAGAGAAUAGUAUUUAUCAGAGAAAGUCUGGUGAGUUGAAGUCCAAGACCCCAGGAAACAACUAGCCCUGCUGGGCUGCCCCUCCUUCGGAGUGGGACUAUAUGAUCCUCAUCAGGCCAAUCCACGUCACAGAAUGGUCUAGGCAUUGGAUGAGUGCCUCAAUCUGAGCCAAUGAAGGUCAUUGCUGAGACAUUUUACUGGUUGCCAGGCUGCAGGCAUCCCAGGCUUCCUGCUGCCCUCAUGUCUACAACCUGUCGUCUGGAACAUUCCAGGAGCCACUUUUAUCACUUGCAGCAAUCUUCUUCAGUGAGUUCCCCAGGACUUGAUUUCAUCUUACAAUCUGAUUCCAUGUGUCUCCCAUAUUUUAAGGAUUCUUUAUUAUUUCUGGCUUACAGAGAACAAACAUUAUUUUUUGCUUUCCUGGUCUGUUCUAGAUUUUCAAAAAUAACUCUGUCACUUCUGUUAUAUGGUAUCAUUGCUUGUAAUUAUCUAUUUACUUAUCUGUCUCUGGACUGGACUCUUUACAGACAGGCAAUAACUAAUUAUCUGUCUGUCUGGCAUUUGGUAGUCACUCAUAAAUCGUUUAUUGCAUUACUAACUAAAUAAAAAAGUUGACCUUG